rnacentral:rRNA from 1 species
UACAGAGGUCUCAAGCGUUGUUCGGAUUCAUUGGGCGUAAAGGGUGCGUAGGCGGCCAACUAAGUCAGACGUGAAAUCCCUCGGCUUAACCGGGGAACUGCGUCUGAUACUGGAUGGCUUGAGGUUGGGAGAGGGAUGCGGAAUUCCAGGUGUAGCGGUGAAAUGCGUAGAUAUCUGGAGGAACACCGGUGGCGAAGGCGGCAUCCUGGACCAAUUCUGACGCUGAGGAGCGAAAGCCAGGGGAGCAAACGGG